rnacentral:tRNA from 1 species
UCGUUAGCUCAGUUGGUAGAGCAGCUGACUCUUAAUCAGCGGGUCAUGGGUUCGAGCCCCUUACGA